AGUGAACGCUGGCGGUAGGCCUAACACAUGCAAGUCGAACGGCAGCACAGUAAGAGCUCGCUCUUACGGGUGGCGAGUGGCGGACGGGUGAGGAAUACAUCGGAAUCUACUUUUUCGUGGGGGAUAACGUAGGGAAACUUACGCUAAUACCGCAUACGACCUACGGGUGAAAGCAGGGGAUCUUCGGACCUUGCGCGAUUGAAUGAGCCGAUGUCGGAUUAGCUAGUUGGCGGGGUAAAGGCCCACCAAGGCGGCGAUCCGUAGCUGGUCUGAGAGGAUGAUCAGCCACACUGGAACUGAGACACGGUCCAGACUCCUACGGGAGGCAGCAGUGGGGAAUAUUGGACAAUGGGCGCAAGCCUGAUCCAGCCAUACCGCGUGGGUGAAGAAGGCCUUCGGGUUGUAAAGCCCUUUUGUUGGGAAAGAAAAGCAGCAGGUUAAUACCCCGCUGUUCUGACGGUACCCAAAGAAUAAGCACCGGCUAACUUCGUG
rnacentral:rRNA from 1 species